ACUCAAAGGAAUUGACGGGGGCCCGCACAAGCAGUGGAGCAUGUGGUUUAAUUCGAUGCAACGCGAAGAACCUUACCCAGUCUGGACAUACAGAUGGCGAUAUCAGAGAUGAUAUUUUCCGCAAGGACGUCUGUACAGGUGCUGCAUGGCUGUCGUCAGCUCGUGCCGUGAGGUGUUGGGUUAAGUCCCGCAACGAGCGCAACCCUUAUCAUUAGUUGCCAACACGCAAGGUGGGGACUCUAGUGAGACUGCCUAGGUUAACUAGGAGGAAGGUGAGGAUGAUGUCAAGUCCGCAUGGCCUUUAUGACUGGGGCUACACACGUGCUACAAUGGUCGGUACAGAAGGCAGCGAAGCCGCGAGGUGGAGCAAAUCCCAAAAGCCGAUCUCAGUUCAGAUUGUAGUCUGCAACUCGACUACAUGAAGCUGGAAUUGCUAGUAAUGGCGUGUCAGCAACAACGCCGUGAAUACGUUCCCGGGCCUUGCACACACCGCCCGU
rnacentral:rRNA from 1 species